rnacentral:tRNA from 1 species
GCUUCAGUAGCUCAGUUGGUUAGAGCACCUGACUGUUAAUCAGGGGGUCGUUGGUUCAAGCCCAUCCUGAAGCGCC